ACUCCUACGGGAGGCAGCAGUGGGGAAUAUUGCACAAUGGGCGCAAGCCUGAUGCAGCCAUGCCGCGUGUGUGAAGAAGGCCUUCGGGUUGUAAAGCACUUUCAGUCGUGAGGAAGGUGUAGUGUUAAUAGCACUAUCAUUUGACGUUAGCGACAGAAGAAGCACCGGCUAACUCCGUGCCAGCAGCCGCGGUAAUACGGAGGGUGCGAGCGUUAAUCGGAAUUACUGGGCGUAAAGCGCAUGCAGGUGGUUUGUUAAGUCAGAUGUGAAAGCCCGGGGCUCAACCUCGGAAUAGCAUUUGAAACUGGCAAGCUAGAGUACUGUAGAGGGGGUAGAAUUUCAGGUGUAGCGGUGAAAUGCGUAGAGAUCUGAAGGAAUACCGGUGGCGAAGGCGGCCCCUGCAGCAGAUACUGACACUCAGAUGCGAAAGCGUGGGGAGCAAACAGGAUUAGAUACCCUGGUAGGCGU
rnacentral:rRNA from 1 species